UUGAGGAGGGAACGGGGACCGGCGCUUGGGGCGGUCGAGGAUGCGCCGAGGGUCUCCCGGAGCCAGCAGGGGGCGCAGCGUCCAGGCUUCCGUCAGCGGUCCGAAGCGCGACGCCCGGGCCUGCCCAGAAGUUUGUUCCUUCAGCCCCGCGGGCGGCAGGCUCUGAGGUAGAAGACGGCGCCACCGUGGCGGUCUUUCCGCAGUGACGGUAUAUACUGCUGAACGUAUUGUGUAAUGCUUUUGGACCAUGGUUUUCUGCUGUAAUUGAAACCAGAGAAGGAUGAGUUCUGGGUGAGCACCGGAGAAGAACGAGUUCUGGGUGAGCACCGUUCAUUCGCACAGUGGACGAUCGUUCAGCUUUAAAGAGCAAGAGUGAUGCCUGCUGAACACCAAGGCGCCUUGAAGACUUAGCCAUAACUGUGAGGACAGCAGCCGCCCAGCUCCGGGAGCCUUUCCAGGCGCUCAUGCACCUCGGGACCCUGCCGAUUCUUAGUGGAAGCCUAUUACACCUGUCCCUGAAACCCAUGGAGGCCUGACCCCUACUUGCAGUUUGUCACCACCCGAGUCACUGCUCAUUGAUGGCUCUUCAUGGGUGACAUAGGGUCAGCCAUCACUCCUGAACCUCAGUCUGCCUCUUUUCCCUCUCCUUCCUUCCUCUCCCCCUCCUCUUUUUCCUCUCUUCAUUCUCCCUCUUCCCCUCUUCCUCUAGCUCUCAUUUAGUUUUAUGAGGCAGAGAUUCCUGGUUCUGUAGUCCAAACCAACUUAGACCUUCCUUUAUGUCCCAGGAUAUUCAUACACACGUAAUCCUCUUGCUUGAGGCUUCCAUGUGCUGAACCUGCAGGCUCAUGCCAACCAUUUUCUCACGACAUUAGCUGUCCCUUGGG